GAAAGUAAGUAAGGGCGUAUGGGGGAUGCCUAGGCUCUUGGAGGCUAAGAAGGACGUGGUAAGCUGCGAAAAGCUGCGGGGAUUUGCAAACGAGACUCGAUCCGCAGAUAUCCGAAUGGGACAACCCGGCAGGUAGAAGACCUGUCACACCGCGAGGUGAGCUAACCCUCUGAACUGAAACAUCUAAGUAGGAGGAGGAAAAGAAAGAAACAUCGAUUUCCAAAGUAGCGGCGAGCGAAAUGGAAGGAGCCCAAACCGAUAUUGUUACGGCAAUAUCGGGGUUGUAGGACUGCAAUAUUCAAUUAACAAUGAACUGGAAUGGUCUGGAAAGUCCAUCCAUAGAGAGUGAAAGGCUCGUACAGGUAAGUUUGUUAUGCGAAAGCAGUAUCCUGAGUAUGGCGGGACACGAGGAAUCCUGUCAGAAUCAGCCGGGACCACCCGGUAAGGCUAAAUACUCCCAAGAGACCGAUAGUGGACCAGUACUGUGAAGGAAAGGUGAAAAGAACCCCGAACAGGGGAGUGAAAUAGAACCUGAAACCAUACGCUUACAACCGGUCGGAGCAGCUUCGUGCUGUGACGGCGUGCCUAUUGAAUAAUGAGCCUACGAGUUACUAAUCACUAGCGAGGUUAAGUGCAAGGAUGCACGGAGCCGAAGCGAAAGCGAGUCUGAACAGGGCGUUUAGUUAGUGGUUGUAGACGCGAAACCUUGCGAUCUACCCUUGAGCAGGUUGAAGGUUGGGUAAAACCAACUGGAGGACCGAACGAAUAAGCGUUGAAAAGCUUCUCGAUGACUUGAGGGUAGGGGUGAAAGGCUAAUCAAGCUGGGAAAUAGCUCGUACUCCCCGAAAUGCCUUUUGGGGCAGCGUUGUAAUAAAGAGUCUACUGGAGGUAGAGCUACUGAUUGGAUGCGGGGGCUUCACCGCCUACCAAAUCCUGACAAACUCCGAAUGCCAGUAGUAUGAUUUACAGCAGUGAGUGACUGGGUGCUAAUGUCCAGUCGCAAAAGAGGAACAACUCAGACCAGCAACUAAGGUCCCGAAGAAUAUGCUAAGUUGAUCUAACGAUGUUUUGUUGCAGAGACAGCUAGGAUGUUAGCUUGGAAGCAGCUAUUCAUUCAAAGAGUGCGUAACAGCUCACUAGUCGAGCGACAGAGCGUGGAUAAUAAACGGGCAUCAAGCAUAUCACCGAAGUUCUGGGCGCGAGAGCGCGGUAGGGGAGCAUUCCAUUCAGCGUCGAAGCAGUUUCGUGAGGAAUUGUGGAGCGUAUGGAAAAGCAAAUGUAGGCAUGAGUAACGAUAAUGCGGGAGAGUAACCCGCACACCGCAAGACCAAGGUUUCCUGAUCAACGCUAAUCGGAUCAGGGUUAGUCGGGUCCUAAGGGUAAGCCGAACGGCGAUCUCGAUGGAUAAUCGGUUAAUAUUCCGAUACUAACAUAUACCUCGAUGGAGAGACGAAGGAACGUAAGUGCCGCCACCUGACGGAAUAGGUGGUUAAAGGGCGUAGGUAUAGGGGCAGAUUAAGAGUUAGUCCUUGCUGAAACCUGACAGUACAGAGAGCCUACGGGCAAUUUGAUAGAGCACCCAAGUCGACUUCCGAGAAAAUCUUCUAAGUUAUAGUAUAUGUUACCCGUACCGUAAACCGACACAGGUGGUCGAGGAGAGUAUCCUAAGGUGCUCGAGUGAAUCACGGUUAAGGAACUAGGCAAAUUAACCCCGUAACUUCGGGAAAAGGGGUCCCUAUGAAAGUAGGGCGCAGCGAAGAGGUCCAGGCGACUGUUUAUCAAAAACACAGGGCUCUGCAAAUUCGAAAGAAGACGUAUAGGGCCUGACACCUGCCCGGUGCUGGAAGGUUAAGAGGGGAUGUCAUCGCAAGAGAAGCAUUGAAUCGAAGCCCCAGUAAACGGCGGCCGUAACUAUAACGGUCCUAAGGUAGCGAAAUUCCUUGUCGGGUAAGUUCCGACCUG
rnacentral:rRNA from 1 species